CAAGUCGAACGAAGCACUUAUCUUUGAAUCUUCGGAUGAAGAGGUUUGUGACUGAGUGGCGGACGGGUGAGUAACGCGUGGGUAACCUGCCUCAUACAGGGGGAUAACAGUUAGAAAUGACUGCUAAUACCGCAUAAGACCACGGAGCCGCAUGGCUCCGUGGGAAAAACUCCGGUGGUAUGAGAUGGACCCGCGUCUGAUUAGGUAGUUGGUGGGGUAACGGCCUACCAAGCCGACGAUCAGUAGCCGACCUGAGAGGGUGACCGGCCACAUUGGGACUGAGACACGGCCCAAACUCCUACGGGAGGCAGCAGUGGGGAAUAUUGCACAAUGGGGGAAACCCUGAUGCAGCGACGCCGCGUGAGCGAAGAAGUAUUUCGGUAUGUAAAGCUCUAUCAGCAGGGAAGAAAAUGACGGUACCUGACUAAGAAGCACCGGCUAAAUACGUGCCAGCAGCCGCGGUAAUACGUAUGGUGCAAGCGUUAUCCGGAUUUACUGGGUGUAAAGGGAGCGUAGAUGGCUGUGUAAGUCUGAAGUGAAAGCCCGGGGCUCAACCCCGGGACUGCUUUGGAAACUAUGCAGCUAGAGUGUCGGAGAGGUAAGUGGAAUUCCCAGUGUAGCGGUGAAAUGCGUAGAUAUUGGGAGGAACACCAGUGGCGAAGGCGGCUUACUGGACGAUGACUGACGUUGAGGCUCGAAAGCGUGGGGAGCAAACAGGAUUAGAUACCCUGGUAGUCCACGCCGUAAACGAUGGCUACUAGGUGUCGGGGAGCAAAGCUCUUCGGUGCCGCAGCAAACGCAAUAAGUAGUCCACCUGGGG
rnacentral:rRNA from 1 species